rnacentral:rRNA from 1 species
CUGGCGGCGUGCUUACACAUGCAAGUCGAACGAGAAAUCUUUAGCUCGCUAGAGAAAGUAAAGUGGCGCACGGGUGAGUAACGCGUGGGUAAUCUGCCUCCGAAUCGGGGAUAACAUUGCGAAAGCGAUGCUAAUACCGGAUAAAAUCUGGUUGGCUUCGGUGAACCGGAUCAAAGGUGGUCUCUUUAUAAAAGCUACCGUUUGGAGAUGAGCUCGCGUACCAUUAGCUAGUUGGUGAGGUAAAGGCUCACCAAGGCGACGAUGGUUAGCUGGUCUGAGAGGAUGAUCAGCCACACCGGAACUGGAACACGGUCCGGACUCCUACGGGAGGCAGCAGUGAGGAAUUUUGCGCAAUGGGGGAAACCCUGGCGCAGCAACGCCGCGUGAGUGAUGAAGGCUUUCGGGUCGUAAAGCUCUGUCAGGUGGGAAGAACCCACCAAGUGUUAAGACCACUUGGUGCUGACGGUACCACCGAAGGAAGCACCGGCUAACUCCGUGCCAGCAGCCGCGGUAAUACGGGGGGUGCGAGCGUUAUUCGGAAUCAUUGGGCGUAAAGGGCGCGCAGGCGGUUUUGUAAGUCAGAUGUGAAAUCCCGGGGCUUAACCCCGGAAGUGCAUAUGAAACUAUGAGACUUGAGUAUGGGAGAGGGAAGCGGAAUUCCUGGUGUAGCGGCGAAAUGCGUAGAUAUCAGGAGGAACACCGGUGGCGAAGGCGGCUUCCUGGACCAAUACUGACGCUGAGGCGCGAAGGCGUGGGGAGCGAACAGGAUUAGAUACCCUGGUAGUCCACGCAGUAAACGUUGAUCACUAGGUGUAACGGGUAUUGACCCCUGCUGUGCCGGAGUUCACGCAUUAAGUGAUCCG